AGUGAACGCUGGCGGUAGGCCUAACACAUGCAAGUCGAACGGCAGCACAGGAGAGCUUGCUCUCUGGGUGGCGAGUGGCGGACGGGUGAGGAAUACAUCGGAAUCUACUCUGUCGUGGGGGAUAACGUAGGGAAACUUACGCUAACACCGCAUACGACCUACGGGUGAAAGCAGGGGACCUUCGGGCCUUGCGCGAUUGAAUGAGCCGAUGUCGGAUUAGCUAGUUGGCGGGGGAAAGGCCCACCAAGGCGACGAUCCGUAGCUGGUCUGAGAGGAUGAUCAGCCACACUGGAACUGAGACACGGUCCAGACUCCUACGGGAGGCAGCAGUGGGGAAUAUUGGACAAUGGGCGCAAGCCUGAUCCAGCCAUACCGCGUGGGUGAAGAAGGCCUUCGGGUUGUAAAGCCCUUUUGUUGGGAAAGAAAUCCAGCUGGCUAAUACCCGGUUGGGAUGACGGUACCCAAAGAAUAAGCACCGGCUAACUUCGUGCCAGCCGCCGCAGUAA
rnacentral:rRNA from 1 species